UUUAAAGUCUAAUCUGCCCUAUGAUAAAUUAAAUGGCCGCGGUAUUUUGACCGUGCAAAGGUAGCAUAAUAAUUAGUUUUUUAAUUGAAAGCUGGAAUGAAUGAUUGGACGAGAAAAUGACUGUCUCGAUUUAAUUUUUUUAGAAUUUUAUUUUUAAGUAAGAAAGCUUAAAUUUUAUUAAAAGACGAGAAGACCCUAUAGAGUUUUAUAUUUAAUUUAUUAUUAAUUUUUAAGUAUUAUUUCAUUAAUAUUAUAUUAAAUAUUUUAUUGGGGUGAUAGAAAAAUAUUAUUAACUUUUUUUAUAUUUAAACCAUUAAUUUAUGAUUAAAUGAUCCAUUUUUUAUGAUUAAAAGAAUAAGUUACCUUAGGGAUAACAGCGUAAUUUUUUUUAAGAGUUCUUAUCGAAAAAAAAGAUUGCGACCUCGAUGUUGGAUUAAAAUAAAUGUUUGGUGUAGAAGCUAAAUAAUUAGGUCUGUUCGACCUUUAAAAUUUUACA
rnacentral:rRNA from 1 species